AGAGUUUGAUCCUGGCUCAGGAUGAACGCUGGCGGCGUGCUUAACACAUGCAAGUCGAACGAUCCUUCGGGAUAGUGGCGGACGGGUGAGUAACGCGUGGGAAUCUGCCCUCAGGAGGGGGAUAACGGCUGGAAACGGCCGCUAAUACCCCAUAUGCCGAGAGGUGAAACGAAUUUCGCCUGAGGAUGAGCCCGCGUCUGAUUAGCUAGUUGGUGGGGUAAAGGCCCACCAAGGCGACGAUCAGUAGCUGGUCUGAGAGGAUGAUCAGCCACACUGGGACUGAGACACGGCCCAGACUCCUACGGGAGGCAGCAGUGGGGAAUUUUCCGCAAUGGGCGAAAGCCUGACGGAGCAACGCCGCGUGAGGGAUGAAGGCCUCUGGGCUGUAAACCUCUUUUCUCAAGGAAGAAGACCUGACGGUACUUGAGGAAUAAGCCACGGCUAAUUCCGUGCCAGCAGCCGCGGUAAUACGGGAGUGGCAAGCGUUAUCCGGAAUUAUUGGGCGUAAAGCGUCCGCAGGCGGCCUUGUAAGUCUGUUGUUAAAGCGUGGAGCUUAACUCCAUUUAAGCAAUGGAAACUACAAGGCUGGAGUGUGGUAGGGGCAGAGGGAAUUCCCGGUGUAGCGGUGAAAUGCGUAGAUAUCGGGAAGAACACCAGUGGCGAAGGCGCUCUGCUGGGCCAUAACUGACGCUCAUGGACGAAAGCCAGGGGAGCGAAAGGGAUUAGAUACCCCUGUAGUCCUGGCCGUAAACGAUGAACACUAGGUGUCGGGGGAAUCGACCCCCUCGGUGUCGUAGCCAACGCGUUAAGUGUUCCGCCUGGGGAGUACGCACGCAAGUGUGAAACUCAAAGGAAUUGACGGGGGCCCGCACAAGCGGUGGAGUAUGUGGUUUAAUUCGAUGCAACGCGAAGAACCUUACCAGGGUUUGACAUCCUGCGAACCCCUGAGAAAUCGGGGGGUGCCUUCGGGAGCGCAGAGACAGGUGGUGCAUGGCUGUCGUCAGCUCGUGUCGUGAGAUGUUGGGUUAAGUCCCGCAACGAGCGCAACCCACGUCUUUAGUUGCCAGCAUUCAGUUGGGCACUCUAGAGAGACCGCCGGUGAUAAACCGGAGGAAGGUGUGGAUGACGUCAAGUCAUCAUGCCCCUUACAUCCUGGGCUACACACGUACUACAAUGCUACGGACAAAGGGCAGCAAGCUCGCGAGAGUUAGCAAAUCCCAUAAACCGUGGCUCAGUUCAGAUCGUAGGCUGCAACUCGCCUACGUGAAGGAGGAAUCGCUAGUAAUCGCAGGUCAGCAUACUGCGGUGAAUACGUUCCCGGGCCUUGUACACACCGCCCGUCACACCAUGGAAGUUGGCCAUGCCCGAAGUCGUUACUCCAACCCUUGUGGAGGAGGACGCCGAAGGUGGGGCUGAUGACUGGGGUGAAGUCGUAACAAGGUA
rnacentral:rRNA from 1 species